ACUCCUUCAAAAACUCUCUCCCAGCACUCCUAUUUGGUGCAGAAUCCAGCCAUUUGCGACAACAUGGAUGGACCUUGAGGAAUUUGUAUAAUAUUGAUGUUAUUUCUUCCUUCAAUGUCUAGAAGAAUUUCCAGAUGAAGCCAUAUGAACCAGAGUUUUUAUUUUUGUUCUUCUCAAUUCUAAGGACAUUUACACUUCAUCACAGGAAGCUAGGGGAUACUCUGAACUGCGAUUCUUUCAGCACAUUUGACUUAUUUUCCCUGGAAGAUAAAGUUGGAAAUUUGAAUCUGGUUUUCUCAAUGAUAUUAGAAAGUUUAAAAAGUAAAAUAUUGCAUGAAUGGG
rnacentral:lncRNA from 1 species